rnacentral:rRNA from 1 species
UACACUCCUACGGGAGGCAGCAGUGGGGAAUUUUGGACAAUGGGCGAAAGCCUGAUCCAGCAAUGCCGCGUGAGUGAAGAAGGCCUUCGGGUUGUAAAGCUCUUUUGUCAGGGAAGAAACGGUGAGAGCUAAUAUCUCUUGCUAAUGACGGUACCUGAAGAAUAAGCACCGGCUAACUACGUGCCAGCAGCCGCGGUAAUACGUAGGGUGCAAGCGUUAAUCGGAAUUACUGGGCGUAAAGCGUGCGCAGGCGGUUUUGUAAGUCUGAUGUGAAAUCCCCGGGCUCAACCUGGGAAUUGCAUUGGAGACUGCAAGGCUAGAAUCUGGCAGAGGGGGGUAGAAUUCCACGUGUAGCAGUGAAAUGCGUAGAUAUGUGGAGGAACACCGAUGGCGAAGGCAGCCCCCUGGGUCAAGAUUGACGCUCAUGCACGAAAGCGUGGGGAGCAAACAGGAUUAGAUACCCGGGUAGUCCCAUGAU